AUUGAACGCUGGCGGCAGGCUUAACACAUGCAAGUCGAGCGAGCGGCGGACGGGUGAGUAAUGACUGGGAAACUGCCUGAUGGAGGGGGAUAACUACUGGAAACGGUAGCUAAUACCGCAUACCAUCAGAUGUGCCCAGAUGGGAUUAGCUUGUAGGUGGGGUAAGGGCUCACCAAGGAGCCGAUCCCUAGCUGGUCUGAGAGGAUGACAAGCCACACUGGAACUGAGACACGGGCCAGACUCCGACGGGAGGCAGCAGUGGAGAACAUGGCACAAUGGGCGCAAGCCGGAUGCAGCCAUGCCGCGUGUAUGAAGAAGGCCUUCGGGUUGUAAAGCACUGUAAGCGCGGAGGCGUUACUAGCAGAAUAAGCACCGGCUAACGCCGGGCCAGCAGCCGCGGUAAUUC
rnacentral:rRNA from 1 species